rnacentral:rRNA from 1 species
CCUACGGGGGGCAGCAGUGGGGAAUAUUGGACAAUGGGCGAAAGCCUGAUCCAGCCAUGCCGCGUGUGUGAAGAAGGCCUUCGGGUUGUAAAGCACUUUCAGUGGGGAAGAAAGCCUUGGGGCUAAUACCCUCGAGGAAGGACAUCACCCACAGAAGAAGCACCGGCUAACUCCGUGCCAGCAGCCGCGGUAAUACGGAGGGUGCGAGCGUUAAUCGGAAUUACUGGGCGUAAAGCGCGCGUAGGCGGUCUGAUAAGCCGGUUGUGAAAGCCCCGGGCUCAACCUGGGAACGGCAUCCGGAACUGUCAGGCUAGAGUGCAGGAGAGGAAGGUAGAAUUCCCGGUGUAGCGGUGAAAUGCGUAGAGAUCGGGAGGGAUACCAGUGGCGAAGGCGGCCUUCUGGACUGACACUGACGCUGAGGUGCGAAAGCGUGGGUAGCAAACAGGAUUAGAUACCCCGGUAGUC